rnacentral:sRNA from 1 species
GAUGAUCCCUUUCAGAUGAAGACAGGUGGUAUGGUGGAUAUGAAGAAACUGAAGGAAAGGGGCAAAGAUAAGAUCAGUGAGGAGGAGGACCUGCACCUGGGGACAUCGUUUUCUGCAGAAACCAACCGAAGGGAUGAGGAUGCAGACAUGUCUUUUCAGGCCGGGCACGGUAGCUCUCGCCUGUAGUCCCAGCACUUUGGGAGGCCGAGGCAGGUGGAUCAUCUGAGGUGGGGAGUUCGAGACCAGACUGACCAACAUGGAGAAACCCCGUCCCUACUGAAAAUACAAAAUUAGCCGGGUGUGGUAGUGGGCACCUGUAAUCCCAGCUACUCGGGAGGCUGAGGCAGGAGAAUUGCUUGAACCUGGGAGGCAGAGCUUGCGGCGAGCCAAGAUCUCGCCAUUGCACUCCAGCCUGGGCAACAAGAGCGAAACUCCGUCUCCAAAAUAUAAAAAAUAAAAACUUGUUUUGAAA